rnacentral:rRNA from 1 species
AUUGAACGCUGGCGGCAUGCCUUACACAUGCAAGUCGAACGGCAGCACGGGGGCAACCCUGGUGGCGAGUGGCGAACGGGUGAGGAGUACAUCGGAAUCUACUCUGUCGUGGGGGAUAACGUAGGGAAACUUACGCUAAUACCGCAUACGACCUACGGGUGAAAGCAGGGGACCUUCGGGCCUUGCGCGAUUGAAUGAGCCGAUGUCGGAUUAGCUAGUUGGCGGGGUAAAGGCCCACCAAGGCGACGAUCCGUAGCUGGUCUGAGAGGAUGAUCAGCCACACUGGAACUGAGACACGGUCCAGACUCCUACGGGAGGCAGCAGUGGGGAAUAUUGGACAAUGGGCGCAAGCCUGAUCCAGCCAUACCGCGUGGGUGAAGAAGGCCUUCGGGUUGUAAAGCCCUUUUGUUGGGAAAGAAAUCCAGCUGGCUAAUACCCGGUUGGGAUGACGGUACCCAAAGAAUAAGCACCGGCUAACUUCGUGCCAGCAGCCGCCGCGGUAA